UCAAGAAACUUCCACAAUGGGCGAAAGCCUGAUGGAGCGACGUCGCGUGAUGGACGAAGUGCUUCGGCACGUAAACAUCUUUUAUGUGGGAUGAAAUUAUUGACAGUACCACAUGAAUAAGGGGCUCCUAACUCUGUGCCAGCAGCCGCGGUAAUACAGAGGGUGCAAGCGUUAAUCGGACUUACUGGGCGUAAAGGGUGCGUAGGCGGAAGGAUAAGUUAGUUGUGAAAGGCCUGGGCUUAACCUAGGAACUGCAAUUAAGACUGUCCAUCUAGAGUUGAGUAGAGGGGAGCGGAAUUUCCGGUGUAGCGGUGAAAUGCGUAGAUAUCGGAAGGAACAUCAGUUGCGAAGGCGGCUCUCUGGACUCAAACUGACGCUGAGGCACGAAAGCGUGGGUAGCGAACAGGAUUAGAUACCCAGGUAGUCCCUGAGCGGGCUGGCAAGGCGCAU
rnacentral:rRNA from 1 species